UGCCUAUCCGUCGCGGGCGCAGGAAAUUUGAGAGGAGCUGUCCUUAGUACGAGAGGACCGGGAUGGACAUACCUCUGGUGUACCAGUUGUCGUGCCAACGGCAUAGCUGGGUAGCUAUGUAUGGACGGGAUAAGUGCUGAAAGCAUCUAAGCAUGAAGCCCCCCUCAAGAUGAGAUUUCCCAACUUCGGUUAUAAGAUCCCUCGAAGAUGACGAGGUUAAUAGGUUCGAGGUGGAAGCGUGGUGACACGUGGAGCUGACGAAUACUAAUCGAUCGAAGACUUAAUCAA
rnacentral:ncRNA from 1 species